UACGGGGGGAGCAAGCGUUGUUCGGAUUUACUGGGCGUAAAGGGCGCGUAGGCGGCGCAACAAGUCACUUGUGAAAUCUCCGGGCUUAACCCGGAGCGGUCAAGUGAUACUGUCGUGCUAGAGUGCGGAAGGGGCUACUGGAAUUCUCGGUGUAGCGGUGAAAUGCGCAGAUAUCGGGAGGAACACCGGUGGCGAAGGCGGUUCUCUGGGCCUUACCUGACGCUGAGGAGCGAAAGCGUGGGGAGCGAACAGG
rnacentral:rRNA from 1 species